AGCGAACGUUAGCGGCGGGCUUAACACAUGCAAGUCGAGCGAGAAAGUGGCUUCGGCCAUCAGUAAAGCGGCGGACGGGUGAGUAACACGUAGGUAACCUGCCCCAUAGUCUGGAACAACUAGAGGAAACUCUAGCUAAUGCCGGAUAAGACCACGGUUCCCUCGGGAACUGCGGCCAAAGAUGGCCUCCGUUUACAUGCUAUCGCUGAGGGAGUGGGCCUGCGGGCCAUUAGCUUGUUGGUGAGGUAACGGCUCACCAAGGCUGUGAUGGCUAGCUGGUCUGAGAGGAUGACCAGCCACACUGGGACUGAGACACGGCCCAGACUCCUACGGGAGGCAGCAGU
rnacentral:rRNA from 1 species